UGCCCAGCAACUCCUAUCCCAACCUCCUCGCGGUACUGACUGGAGUAACCUUAGGGAAGAUUGGGUAACCAACCCCGGUGGGAACUCUGGUUGUAUGCUGACAGGGAAGG
rnacentral:ribozyme from 1 species